GAUCCUGGCUCAGGAUGAACGCUGGCGGCGUGCUUAACACAUGCAAGUCGAGCGAAGCGCUUAAGUCUGAUUCUUCGGAUGAAGACUUUUGUGACUGAGCGGCGGACGGGUGAGUAACGCGUGGGUAACCUGCCUCAUACAGGGGGAUAACAGUUAGAAAUGACUGCUAAUACCGCAUAAGACCACGGUACCGCAUGGUACAGUGGUAAAAAACUCCGGUGGUAUGAGAUGGACCCGCGU
rnacentral:rRNA from 1 species